GACGAACGCUGGCGGCGUGCUUAACACAUGCAAGUCGAACGGAAAGGCCCUGCUUUUGUGGGGUGCUCGAGUGGCGAACGGGUGAGUAACAGGUGAGUAACCUGCCCUUCACUUUGGGAUAAGUUCACGAAGCUGGGGCUAAUACCGGAUAGGAGCUCCUGCUGCAUGGUGGGGGUUGGAAAGUUUCGGCGGUUGGGGAUGGACUAGCGGCUUAUCAGCUUGUUGGUGGGGUAGUGGCUUACCAAGUCUUUGAAUGGUAGCCGGCCUGAGAGGGUGGACGGGCACAAUGGUACUGAGGUACGGCGCAGACUCGUACGUGAGACAGCAGUGGGAAAUAUUGCACAAUGGGCGGAAGCCUGAUGCAGCAACGCCGCGUGCGGGAUGACGGCCUUCGGGUUGUAAACCGCUUUCGCCUGUGACGAAGCGUGAGUGACGGUAAUGGGUAAAUAAGCACCGGCUAACUACGUG
rnacentral:rRNA from 1 species